CUUGGAAUCAAAAAAUUCCCAUCCAAAACACAUUUAUUGUACAAAUCUCAUUUGUGUAACUAAAAUUGUACAGAAGUGGAUUUAAAGAGAUAAAAUCUCAUCAGUGAUCAACUUGCAAUUUAAACAUUAUUGUACCUGAUUUAUAUGUUUAUUUGGGAUCUAAGGGUGACGCACUUUGACCGCUUGUUUCAGAAAUAGUUUCCCUAAAAUUGAAAGAUUCAAACAAUGUCGUUUAGCCUGUUUUGUGUCACGGAGGACCAAAGAGUUCAAGAUAAAGUAGCCACUACCUACCCUUCUAAUCAGUGCAUUUCAGCAGAAAAUGUUACUUUAAAGGAGUAGUUCAAAUGUUUUUGGGAACAAUUCUGUGAAAAUGUUAUCAGUAAAUAUCUUACCUGUUGAAGAUAGAUCUCUGAAAAGCCUCAAUAUAAAGACGAACAAGCAGUUAGCCACAAUAGUUAAAAGCUAGUUAAAAGUUAAAACAUUUCCUAAUGCAAACACUGCAUUAAAACCUUAACGUUUCCAUGUAGUCAGGCUUACAACAAGCAAUUUUCAGGCCACUUUGAGAUGAUUUUCCACUUGUGCGACAAUCCGAGUUCGAGCCAAGUUUUGUGUCGUGUGUCGAGAACCAAUUAACACCAACUGGCAAUCGUGCCGUUUUCCAAAAAUCAAACACGUUAGAAAUUGUGCUUGUCCCUCAUAAGGGCAUCGCUCUGUGCCAGCAGCGCUUGGUUUCUAGCAAGCCCCCACAAUGCGGGUCUGAAAUAUGGUUUUUAGUCUCUGAACUUAGACCAGUAGUUGUAGCGUUUGUGUAUUCUUUUUGGAUAUUAUUGGUGCAAUUGUUGGACAAUUGCACCAAUUUGGGCUUCCCAAAGUCUGCCAAUCAGCGCUUUGGGCUUCCUGACAGGGUUGCGGAAGGCGCUUUAUAAAUAAAGCUUUGAUUGAUUGAUUGACUGAUUGACAAAAUGACUUGCUGUGGUAUUAAUUUCACUAAUAGAGCGUCCAAGGAGUCUCCACUUGAUUUUUUUCGGUGAGUAAAAUUAUAUUUAUGUAUUUUAGGUCACUGCCGCUUUUCCACUAGCUGAGCUUAUCAAAGUAGCUAGCUAACUACCAUUUUAACAUGUACUGUUUAACCAUGAAAUUUAGAUGUAAUACAGAAAAAUAAUUAAUAGGGUAUAUGUCGAUGGGUGUAAAACCCAGUGCAUUUAACAUAAAAUGGGUUGAAAUAUGACAUGUUGGUGGAGUUCUCGGGGGGAGACUUCUGUGUUCCAUUCUUCCACCCGGUUCUCCCCAGCGGUCAGCCCGGCGCAUCUCUGACCGCUUCGGCGCCUGUCUGCUGCACGGGCUGACCGCUUGUGGAGCUCUCGGGCUCGGAGAGAGACCUGACCACAGAAAUGCUGCAGCUCGGUGAGUUGGUUGAUAGUGCUUGAUGUUAGUCUCCAGAAGUCUGUAUGCCAUCAGAUAAACUCGCUCGUUUUUUAAUUUUUUGCAUAUUUGUAAAAUAGUGGUGGUGGGGAGCGACUAAAUAACUAAUUUGUCCACAAAGAGCCGCGGCCAGGUGCCCUGUUCUCAUGGGAACUAGUGCAGUUCAAUAAAAUGGAAAUAAUUUAACAAAAUUGAUUAUUAAAAGGUUCAUAUCCUAUCCAAUAAGGCGAUAGACUCAAGUGUUUCCUUUUUAAUUUUUAUUUUUUAUAAAGUAUGCAUUUUGUAUUACUCUUUAUCCUAAUUUUAGACCUUUUACUACAGGCCAUGAUUAGCUAUUAAGUAUUUUAAACCCAUAUGCUUAAGUAGUUCUUUGUAUGAUGUUUUCCUCUAGGUGAGCCAGAGAGGCUUGACCUUUGGGUAAGCAACCAAAGAAGAGAGUGCUGGAGUCCCGAUUUACAGUCCCGCUUAUGCAGUGAACACUUUGAGAGUCAUCACUUCACCAUGGACCCCAGGGGGAGUCUUUGCCUGAAGGACGCAGCUGUACCUACAAACUUCUCUUCCUUUAAGGUCAAAAAACAUCUUCCAAGAAGGAAAGUACAGGUACUUAGGAAUGACAAGGUGGAAUUGCUGUGUGAUUCCUGUGUC